rnacentral:rRNA from 1 species
GACGAACGCUGGCGGCGUGCUUAACACAUGCAAGUCGAACGGAAAGGCCCUGCUUUUGUGGGGUGCUCGAGUGGCGAACGGGUGAGUAACACGUGAGUAACCUGCCCUUGACUUUGGGAUAACUUCAGGAAACUGGGGCUAAUACCGGAUAGGAGCUCCUGCUGCAUGGUGGGGGUUGGAAAGUUUCGGCGGUUGGGGAUGGACUCGCGGCUUAUCAGCUUGUUGGUGGGGUAGUGGCUUACCAAGGCUUUGACGGGUAGCCGGCCUGAGAGGGUGACCGACCACAUUGGGACUGAGAUACGGCCCAGACUCCUACGGGAGGCAGCAGUGGGGAAUAUUGCACAAUGGGCGGAAGCCUGAUGCAGCAACGCCGCGUGCGGGAUGACGGCCUUCGGGUUAUAAACCGCUUUCGCCUGUGACGAAGCGUGAGUGACGGUAAUGGGUAAAGAAGCACCGGCUAACUACGUG